UACGUAGGGUGCAGGCGUUAAUCGGAAUUACUGGGCGUAAAGCGUGCGCAGGCGGUUUCUUAAGUCAGAUGUGAAAGCCCCGGGCUUAACCUGGGAACUGCGUUUGAAACUGGGAGACUAGAGUGUGGCAGAGGGGGGUGGAAUUCCACGUGUAGCAGUGAAAUGCGUAGAUAUGUGGAGGAACACCGAUGGCGAAGGCAGCCCCCUGGGCUAACACUGACGCCUCAUGCACGAAAGCGUGGGGAGCAAACAGG
rnacentral:rRNA from 1 species